rnacentral:rRNA from 1 species
GACGAACGCUGGCGGCGUGCCUAAUACAUGCAAGUAGAACGCUGAAGCUUGGUGCUUGCACCGAGCGGAUGAGUUGCGAACGGGUGAGUAACGCGUAGGUAACCUGCCUGGUAGCGGGGGAUAACUAUUGGAAACGAUAGCUAAUACCGCAUAAGAGUAGAUGUUGCAUGACAUUUGCUUAAAAGGUGCAAUUGCAUCACUACCAGAUGGACCUGCGUUGUAUUAGCUAGUUGGUGAGGUAACGGCUCACCAAGGCAACGAUACAUAGCCGACCUGAGAGGGUGAUCGGCCACACUGGGACUGAGACACGGCCCAGACUCCUACGGGAGGCAGCAGUAGGGAAUCUUCGGCAAUGGACGGAAGUCUGACCGAGCAACGCCGCGUGAGUGAAGAAGGUUUUCGGAUCGUAAAGCUCUGUUGUAAGAGUAGAACGAGUGUGAGAGUGGAAAGUUCACACUGUGACGGUAUCUUACCAGAAAGGGACGGCUAACUACGUG